CUCUUCUUGAAUAUAUUAUGAUGUAUGGCCUGCCCACUGAGUGUUGAAGGGCCGCGGUAUUUUGACCGUGCAAAGGUAGCAUAAUCAUUAGUCUUUUAAUUGUAGGCUGGAAUGAAUGGUUUGACGAGGUGUAAACUGUCUUUAAUUUAUUUGUUGAAUUUAAAUUUUAGGUUAAAAUGCCUAAAUUUUUUUUUGGGACGAGAAGACCCUAUAGAGUUUUAUAUGUUUUUAUUUUUUUGUGUGAUAAUUUUAAAUUUAAGAAUUUAUUUUGUUGGGGUGAUGGAAAGAUUUAAUUAACUCUUUUUAUUUUUUUAUAUUUAUUUAUAUGUAUUUGAUCCAUUUUUGUUGAUUAUAAGGCUAAAUUACC
rnacentral:rRNA from 1 species